rnacentral:misc_RNA from 1 species
GAUGAAGAACGUAGCGAAAUGCGAUAAGUAAUGUGAAUUGCAGAAUUCAGUGAAUCAUCGAAUCUUUGAACGCAUCUUGCGCUCCUUGGUAUUCCGAGGAGCAUGCCUGUUUGAGUGUCAUUUAACUUCUCAACCACAUUGGAUAUUUUUUUUCCGAUGCCGGCUUGGAUGUGGGGGUUGUUUGCAGGCUUUUUGUAACAAAAAAGGUCGGCUCCCCUGAAAUGUAUUAGUGGUAUCUGAGGCUAUUACUAUUAGGUGUGAUAAUUAUCUAUGCCUUUUGGGUAUGCCGCAUGAACAGAUUAUGCUGCUUCUAACGAAAACUAUUUUGAUGAAUUUGACCUCAAAUCAGGUAGGACUACCCGCUGCACUUAAGCAUAUCAAUAAGCGGAGGA